AUAUUGCUUUUACUGGCAAGCUUAUUAUACUAUUCUGAUGUUUAUUUGCUUUAAUUUCCUUCUUCAAGUGGCAAAUCAAAACAAACUGCAGAUGUCUAUAUAGUACAUGUGUGCAAGAUGCAAGCUGAUUAUCAGGUGGUCCCUGUGGCUAAUGGUCUCUAGCCCAAAAAUCUGGCCGGUGCAUUUAUCAGGUGGGCUACUCCUGCUCAAAUAAAUGGGCAGUUAGAAUAUUGGAAACUGACAGGCUACAUGCAGUGUCUGUGUUUCACUCGCCUGGUGGCUGGGCCGGCCUGAUUUUUUGGAUAGGACACAUGCACUGAGUGGACUCUCCAAUGAACAUCUCAGAUUCAGCAUGCUUGUGCCGCAUUGGUAUGCAUGGGGUGUUUGCAUUUGGCCUAGAAGUUGGGGCUUCUGGAGACGAUCUUUUUAUUUUUUAUUUUCUGCAUUAGGUAGUACACUGGACAUGGGUGAUCUUGAACCUCCCUCAGACUUGAAGAGUUAUCCUUUAUAGAUGUCAGCCACUAUUGGAAAGGUGGUACACCGUACAUGGGUGACCUUGAACCUCCCACAGACUUGAAGAGUUGGAUCCUUAAUAGAUGGCAGCUGCUAGUGGGAAGGGAGUGGCAUACUUUCCUAUUCAUGGCCGUUUUGGAGUACACAGCAGCAUUCCACAUUCAACCAGUAAUUCUUGGAUGGUUGUAGUUCAGAUGUUGGAUCAAUGUUAUUUGGAUCCUCGAUAGUGAAACUUGUAGCAAUACUGAUACUUCAAACACCAAGCGGUAGUUGGCCUCCAUCGUCAACUCAUACCAAGGCUCAUGGAGUGAGACAAGCAUGGAUCAUGACAUGUAUCUACGAAAGUUCAGAACUCAAGGGCAAGGUUUAUUAUUAUUAUUACUAUAGCAGUCUAAUGCAGUCAUGAUCAAGGCCUAAGAUUAGGUCGAAGACAGCUUACU